rnacentral:rRNA from 1 species
GGAAAGGCGCGCGAUACAGGGUGACAGCCCCGUACACAAAAAUGCACAUGCUGUGAGCUCGAUGAGUAGGGCGGGACACGUGGUAUCCUGUCUGAAUAUGGGGGGACCAUCCUCCAAGGCUAAAUACUCCUGACUGACCGAUAGUGAACCAGUACCGUGAGGGAAAGGCGAAAAGAACCCCGGCGAGGGGAGUGAAAAAGAACCUGAAACCGUGUACGUACAAGCAGUGGGAGCACGCUUAGGCGUGUGACUGCGUACCUUUUGUAUAAUGGGUCAGCGACUUAUAUUCUGUAGCAAGGUUAACCGAAUAGGGGAGCCGAAGGGAAACCGAGUCUUAACUGGGCGUUAAGUUGCAGGGUAUAGACCCGAAACCCGGUGAUCUAGCCAUGGGCAGGUUGAAGGUUGGGUAACACUAACUGGAGGACCGAACCGACUAAUGUUGAAAAAUUAGCGGAUGACUUGUGGCUGGGGGUGAAAGGCCAAUCAAACCGGGAGAUAGCUGGUUCUCCCCGAAAGCUAUUUAGGUAGCGCCUCGUGAAUUCAUCUCCGGGGGUAGAGCACUGUUUCGGCAAGGGGGUCAUCCCGACUUACCAACCCGAUGCAAACUGCGAAUACCGGAGAAUGUUAUCACGGGAGACACACGGCGGGUGCUAACGUCCGUCGUGAAGAGGGAAACAACCCAGACCGCCAGCUAAGGUCCCAAAGUCAUGGUUAAGUGGGAAACGAUGUGGGAAGGCCCAGACAGCCAGGAUGUUGGCUUAGAAGCAGCCAUCAUUUAAAGAAAGCGUAAUAGCUCACUGGUCGAGUCGGCCUGCGCGGAAGAUGUAACGGGGCUAAACCAUGCACCGAAGCUGCGGCAGCGACGCUGAUGCGUUGUUGGGUAGGGGAGCGUUCUGUAAGCCUGUGAAGGUGUGCUGUGAGGCAUGCUGGAGGUAUCAGAAGUGCGAAUGCUGACAUAAGUAACGAUAAAGCGGGUGAAAAGCCCGCUCGCCGGAAGACCAAGGGUUCCUGUCCAACGUUAAUCGGGGCAGGGUGAGUCGACCCCUAAGGCGAGGCCGAAAGGCGUAGUCGAUGGGAAACAGGUUAAUAUUCCUGUACUUGGUGUUACUGCGAAGGGGGGACGGAGAAGGCUAUGUUGGCCGGGCGACGGUUGUCCCGGUU